UACAGAGGUCCUAAGCGUUGUUCGGAUUCACUGGGCGUAAAGGGUGCGUAGGUGGUGGGGUAAGUCGGAUGUGAAAUCUCCGGGCUCAACCCGGAAAUGGCAUUGGAAACUACCUUGCUGGAGGAUUUGAGGGGGGAUUGGAAUACUUGGUGUAGCAGUGAAAUGCGUAGAUAUCAAGUGGAACACCAGUGGCGAAGGCGGCUCACUGGGUCUCUUCUGACGCUGAGGAACGAAAGCUAGGGGAGCAAACGGG
rnacentral:rRNA from 1 species